rnacentral:rRNA from 1 species
AGUCGCCGCGGUAAUACGAAGGGUGCAAGCGUUAAUCGGAAUUACUGGGCGUAAAGCGUGCAUAGGCGGUUUGUUAAGUCUGUUGUGAAAUCCCCGGGCUCAACCUGGGAAUGGCAAUGGAUACUGGCAAGCUAGAGUGUGUCAGAGGAUGGUGGAAUUCCCGGUGUAGCGGUGAAAUGCGUAGAGAUCGGGAGGAACAUCAGUGGCGAAGGCGGCCAUCUGGGACAACACUGACGCUGAGGCACGAAAGCGUGGGGAGCAAACAGGAUUAGAUACCCGUGUAGUCCCUGUCUCUUAUACA